UACGUAGGGUGCAAGCGUUACUCGGAAUUACUGGGCGUAAAGCGUGCGCAGGCGGUUUUGUAAGUCAGAUGUGAAAUCCCCGGGCUUAACCUGGGAACUGCAUUUGGGACUGCAAGGCUUGAGUACAGCAGAGGGGGGUAGAAUUCCUGGUGUAGCAGUGAAAUGCGUAGAUAUCAGGAGGAAUACCGAUGGCGAAGGCAGCCCCCUGGGUUGAUACUGACGCUCAUGCACGAAAGCGUGGGGAGCAAACAGG
rnacentral:rRNA from 1 species